GAGAUCUCGUGCGUGAUGGGGGACACGGCCUCUGCAUGCAUGUCCUGUGCAUGUGAAGUGUGAGCCUUGUUGUUGAGUAAACUAAACAGCUGAUUUAUAUGAGAUAGAGCUAUGAGAGCUACCUCCAUGGAGCACGGAGGUACUAAUUCUACCUCCAUGCAUGGAGAGAGUAUCAUGACGGGUUAAUCUGGUUGAAUCGAAGUGAAGUCAUUGGGAAUACUUGCCUUUGUAAACGAUCAUCAUGACGACAUCAAUAACUUAUAAACAAAUCAUUAUAUUUCUGUUGCCGCUGACUUUGACGAAUUUGAUUAUCAGCAUCGGUGAUCAGGCAUUGAACCGAGGACUGACAUCUGCUGAGAGUGCAGCCAAGGCCCUGGCCAGUUUUGGGAUUGCGUUCUUUCUCUGCCAGUUCAUGGUUGGACCAGUUAUUGAGUUCAGGAAUGUUAGCCUGGUUCUUGUACGGAGCAGACGGGACCUACUGAUAGUGUUUUACUGCUUGUUUGGAGUCAGUGGAAUUCUAUUUGUGUUAUCAUUGGUUAUCGCUUUGACUAGUUUUGGCACCUUCCUAUCAAACACUGUCUACAGCUUAUCCGAUGAUGUUGGGGCUGGUUUUAUGCAGUGUAUGUUAUUCCUGUCAGCGUGGCCUGCAGUGGAAGGAAUUACCUUUGUGAUGAUUGGUUUACAUCUGUCCGUUGAGCGCAGCAUUGUGGUCGGAGCUGCACAAGUUAUAGAUGUUUUCUUGAGGAUUGUAUCAGUGGUGGUUCUGCUUCACACCAACAUACCACAAACCAUUCCCCUCAUGGUACCCAUACUGUCAAUGUAUAUGGGCGGAAUCGGAAGGUGCUCUUUUCUCUUUCUAGGAUAUUUCAGAUAUAUCCAUGGCCAACUGAAGAAAGACACACCAGUAUCACAGCGUUUGAAAGUUGGACAAGUGUUUUCAUUUUGGUGGCCAUUAGCUGUGGUGACUACUGGCCAACGUAUUAGCCGGCCACUAGCCAGUUUAUUUGUUUCCAGAGAUCUCUCUGAUAACCAGGAAGAGGCAGCCAAGGCAAUUGCAACACUGACAGUCUGCUACCCUACCACCAUGAUAACCUACCUCUGGUUGAACGAGUCUAGAGUCCUGUUUCCCCUCUUCUUAAGUCCAAGCAGACGACCAAAUGAAGAUCUGAACAAGAAAGACAUAAUCAAACACCUGACACGAUUCAACAUUGGCUACUUCCUGGUGUCAUUCAGUUUGUGUUUAAUAGUGUUUUGGAUUCCUGGAGUCAUUACAACUCUGCUGAUGGUUCUGCUGGGCGUGAGCGCAGAGAUUGCUGAGAUGUGUGUUCUUCCACUUAAAAUCGCCACAGGACUUCCUAUCAUGGUUUCAAUUCGAGCUCAUAUGAUCUCCUGGUUGAUGUACAUGAAGCAGACAGCAGCCAUCUGCCCAAGUGCCAUUCUACGUCUUGCCUUUGUCGUUGCUUUCCUUUUCCUGCUUCCACUGAUGGGUAUGCAUGGUGCUCCAAUGGGCAUGCUAGCACUCCUUUUUGGCUUCACAGCAGAGGCUAUUGGAGUUGUUGCUGGUGCUGCUUGUGUCAAACGAUUCAAAAAGCCAUUGAGCCACAAUAUAACACUGCCUAAUGGAGCCAAUACUAAGACCCCACCUUCAAGCCUCAACUCCUCCAGUGAGAAUCUCAGGUGUAGUCACAGAUACGCACCUAUAACUGAGAAGGAGACAUCCCUGUAGAGUGGAUGCAGAAACAGUACCCCAAAGAACUUUAUCCCGCCAAGAAUUGUAUCCCGCCAAGGAUUGUAUCCUGCCAAGCAUUGUUUGAGGGUAGACAUGGCUGACUGUGCACAGAUCAAGUGCCCCCAGCGGUGGCUUUAUUUUCAAAUUCAUCAAUUUGGGUCAUUCAACUCUAUGAUGUCAGGAGAAACACACAUCUAACAACUCCAUGUUAUUUCUCCGAACAGAUUCUAACCAAAGUCUGAUAUAAAUUGGACCACACAUAUGUUGGACAAACCCUGAUCCCUGAUGCACUGUGCUGUCUACUGUGCAGUUCUCUGUCGACAGGGAGACAAGUAAACAGCUGUUGCAGCCUUGGAACUAUCAGCAUGUGAUGCAAACAAGCAGAUGACGUCAACACUUAAAACGUUUGUUCGUUCUUGGCAGAAUCAGUUGAGAAACCGUGGUGACGUGGUCUUCUGCUGUGCAGUUCUCUGUCGACAGGGAGACAAGUAAACAGCUGUUGCAGCCUUGGAACUAUCAGCAUGUGAUGCAAACAAGCAGAUGACGUCAACACUUAAAACGUUUGUUCGUUCUUGGCAGAAUCAGUUGAGAAACCGUGGUGACGUGGUCUUCUGCUGUGCAGUUCUCUGUCGACAGGGAGACAGGUAAUACACCUGUUGCAGGCUUGGAACUAUCAACAUGUGAUGCAAACAAGCAGAUCACAUCAACACUUAAAACGUUCGUUCUUGGCAGAAUCAGUUGAGAAACCGUGGUGACGUGGUCUUCUGCUGUGCACUUCUCUAGUCGACAGGGAGACAAGUAAACAGCUGUUGCAGCCUUGGAACUAUCAGCAUGUGAUGCAAACAAGCAGAUCGCAUCAACACUUGGCUAAUGUGGCUAUAUCAAAUUUGGCUUGAAAAUGCGUACAAGGCCUUGUGGUUUUAUCAAAUUUUGCUUGAAAAUAGGGCUAUAUCAA